rnacentral:rRNA from 1 species
UACGUAGGGACCAAGCGUUGUUCGGAUUUACUGGGCGUAAAGGGCGCGUAGGCGGCGUGACAAGUCACUUGUGAAAUCUCCGGGCUUAACUCGGAACGGUCAAGUGAUACUGUCGUGCUAGAGUGCAGAAGGGGCAAUCGGAAUUCUUGGUGUAGCGGCGAAAUGCGCAGAUAUCAGGAGGAACACCGGUGGCGAAGGCGGGUCUCUGGGCCGAUACUGACGCUGAGGAGCGAAAGCGUGGGGAGCGAACAGG